GCCAGUUUAGCAUAGUGUUUUAAGUGCUGGACUACAACUCUGAAGACCAGGGUUCGAAUCCCAGCUCUGCCA